rnacentral:rRNA from 1 species
AUUGAACGCUGGCGGCAGGCCUAACACAUGCAAGUCGAACGAGUGGCGGACGGGUGAGUAAUGUCUGGGAAACUGCCCGAUGGAGGGGGAUAACUACUGGAAACUGUAGCUCAUACCGCAUACCAUCGGAUGUGCCCCGCUGGGAUUGGCUAGUAGGUGGGGUAACGGCUCACCUAGGCGACUAUCCCUAGCUGGUCUGAGAGGAUGACCAGCAACACUGGAACUGAGACACGGUCCAGACGCCUACGGGAGGCAGCAGUGGGAAAGAGUGCACAAUGGGCGCAAGACUGAUGCAGCCAUGCCGCGUGUAUGAAGAAGGCCUUUGGGUUGUAAAGUACUGUCAGCGAGGAGGCGUUACUCGCAGAAGAAGCAUCGGCUAACUCCGUGACAGCAGCCGCGGUAAUAC